ensembl:lncRNA
AAAAAAAGAAAAAAAAGAAAAAAAAAAAAAGGAUGAAAAACAGUGGAAUGAGGUCUUUGUGAUACUUUCCAAAUAUAGAACAAGAUAAAAUCCUUAGGUAAAAUACUUGUGUGAAGGGUUAUGGCAGAAUACAAUAUUCUUCCCUUUGAAAUUAUACAUGUAAGAGCAAAAUCUUUUCAAGUGAGUCCUUUUUAAAUGGGCCUCUAAAUUUCAGAAGCAGUGUAUGUAGCUCAAUGCAUGCAAAGAAGUGUUGCCAAUAUAAACAUAUUUUUUUUUCUCCAAUAUAAAAAGCCAAAAAGAACAUUAUUCACAUAAAAUGCAAAUAAAUAAUUGGUGUUCACAUUUACUACUGAGCUUGAGGGGUUCAUUUUUCUUUGGAAAUUUUUAUAUGUUCAUGUACUUAUGUAUUUGAACAUAUAUGCAUACUCAUAUCUAUUUCUGCACAUCUGAAAGUAGGGAGAAUAUAUGUUUGUAUUUAUGUCUGAGUGGUAGUGAAACAAAGUUACCACACCAUGAACUGAGAACUGUGCAUUUCAGUCAACUGAUGAUAGAUCACAAAUUUGUACCACCCUUUCUCUUAAGCCACAUACACUUAUAAUUAAGUUUAUAUAUAUAUGCACACACACACACACACACACACAUAUAUAUAUAUAUACAAAAUUAUUUAAAGUAAAUGUUUUGGAAAAAAAAGUGCAGAAAGGAGACCAAGAUUUUGUAUUUAGAAAAAAGUAAGUCCUACCCUGAUUUUUGAUUUCUCUAUUCUCAACCGGCCUAGACCUGCAGAAGAAAUUGUGUCCGUUUUCAUCAUUAAAUAAAUAAAAUAAAAAACUCAAACAACUGGAAGAAGAGGAAGCUCUCAUAUGCUCAGGUUCUAUGAGGAUCUUCUGCAAGAGGAAAUGUUUUAUGUAAUGAGAUUUGUCUGUUUGCUUCUCUUUGUUCCUUACUGAGGACAUUUUAUCCAUAGAAGAGGAAUUUGUACCAGUCUUAUCAAGAACAAGACUAACAAUUCAAUUACUAACAGAAUACAACACAUGACCGAGAAUCAGUAAGUUGUACAUACUCUAUCAAUAUAUAUUUUAAUAACAAUAUUAUCAUUUCUCUCAUUCAUCAUAUUCUUUUCUAUAUGCUGACUUGCAUACAAAAGCUUUUUUUGCAAUGCUACUAUUAAAAAAAGCUCCCAUAGUUACAGAAUAUAAAAAAAUAACCUAAAUUCUACUUAUACAGAACUUUUAAAAUAAUUAAUAAAGAGUAUUUAUUUCUACAAAUUACAUUUUUUUUAAUCAAGUUUAAUAAAGGGAAGUUAACAUUUAUUUAAGAUCCUGGUUAUAUUUUGAAUUUAGGAAAAUGCAUAUUAAUAAAAUUUCCAUGAACUUCUAGGCAAAGUAACUCCCACAAAAAACAGUUCUAUGUACCAUUGAUUUGUUGAGCUAUUUGUAGAUAAAUGAUUAGACUAGCCAAAUGCAGGUAGAAUUUGCUUUUGCUCUUUUAUUUAUUUAUUUUGCAUGAAAGUCAAGAAGAAAACGUUAUGGGCACAUCUAGGAAAGUAAAAAAACUUAAAACUUCUUGUCAUAUAGAUAUACACAUUUUUUUC